rnacentral:rRNA from 1 species
UACGUAGGGCGCAAGCGUUGUCCGGAAUUAUUGGGCGUAAAGAGCUCGUAGGCGGCCAGUUGCGUCUGCUGUGAAAUCCCGGGGCUCAACCCCGGGCUUGCAGUGGAUACGGGCUGGCUGGAGGCAGGCAGGGGAGAACGGAAUUCCCGGUGUAGCGGUGAAAUGCGCAGAUAUCGGGAGGAACACCGGUGGCGAAGGCGGUUCUCUGGGCAUUACCUGACGCUGAGGAGCGAAAGUGUGGGGAGCGAACAGG